AUGUGGGAAAUAUGGUGGGCUCGACGACGUGCUAUACACGAUGAGCAAUUUCAAAGUCCCAUGAGCACGUCCUGUUUCAUUGCAAAAUUUCCGGAGGACUGGAAAUUUGUGCCUUCUCGUGCCUCGGCUAAAGCCAACGAUUUGCAUGCAAUAACCAGGGGCGUGCAUACAUCGGACAAGGGCCUGCAUGAGCAACACUCGAGGCGCAACAGCAGCAGUAUGCUGAGACAAGCAUGGACAGUAUCUGGGGCCUCUGCGGUCGUCUACGACGACCUUGUAGACCCGGCGACGCUAGAAGCUCAAGCAUGCAAUGAAGCCUUGGCUCUUGUCACUGACUUACAUAUUGACUCCAUCUGCAUUACUUCGGAUUGUGCAGAGGUUGUCGCGAACAUUGAAACCAGGACUCCGUGCCGCUAUGCUACUAUCCUCCGAGAGAUAAAUCAUGGCCAGACUUCGUUUCGAGCACUCAAGAUCGUUCAUGAGAAAAGGGAACAUAAUGGAGAAGCUCAUUCCCUCGCAAAGGCGGCUUCUUCUAUACCCUUUGGGCGCCAUGCCUCCCUUGUUCUUGCUCGUAACUGGAGCAUCUCCUUCGUUCUUUCAAAAAAUGAACGGCCGGCGUGCAGCGAAGAGACGCUAGGCAUCCUGUGCUUUGCCCAAAAGCCAAAUGGCACGCACUAG
rnacentral:rRNA from 1 species